rnacentral:rRNA from 1 species
GUGGGGAAUAUUGGGCAAUGGGCGAAAGCCUGACCCAGCAACGCCGCGUGAGGGAAGAAGGUUUUCGGAUUGUAAACCUCUGUCCUUGGUGACGAACACAAUGACGGUAGCCAAGGAGGAAGCCCCGGCUAACUACGUGCCAGCAGCCGCGGUAAUACGUAGGGGGCAAGCGUUGUCCGGAAUGACUGGGCGGAAAGGGCGUGUAGGCGGCCGAUUAAGUCUGGAGUGAAAGUCCUGCUUUCAAGGUGGGAAUUGCUUUGGAGACUGGUUGGCUUGAGUGCGGAAGAGGCAAGUGGAAUUCCCAGUGUAGCGGUGAAAUGCGUAGAGAUUGGGAGGAACACCAGUGGCGAAGGCGACUUGCUGGGCCGUAACUGACGCUGAGGCGCGAAAGCGUGGGGAGCGAACAGGAUUAGAAACCCCGGUAGUCC